rnacentral:rRNA from 1 species
UUGAACGCUGGCGGCAUGCUUUACACAUGCAAGUCGAACGGUAACAGGCCGCAAGGUGCUGACGAGUGGCGAACGGGUGAGUAAUGCAUCGGAACGUGCCCAGUCGUGGGGGAUAACUACUCGAAAGAGUAGCUAAUACCGCAUACGAUCUAUGGAUGAAAGCGGGGGACCGUCAGGCCUCGCGCGAUUGGAGCGGCCGAUGUCAGAUUAGGUAGUUGGUGGGGUAAAGGCUCACCAAGCCAACGAUCUGUAGCUGGUCUGAGAGGACGACCAGCCACACUGGGACUGAGACACGGCCCAGACUCCUACGGGAGGCAGCAGUGGGGAAUUUUGGACAAUGGGCGCAAGCCUGAUCCAGCAAUGCCGCGUGCAGGAAGAAGGCCUUCGGGUUGUAAACUGCUUUUGUACGGAACGAAACGGCUCUGGUUAAUACCCGGGGCUAAUGACGGUACCGUAAGAAUAAGCACCGGCUAACUACGUG